GAGGCGAUGAAGGACGUGCUAAUCUGCGAAAAGCGUCGGUAAGGUGAUAUGAACCGUUAUAGCCGGCGAUGUCCGAAUGGGGAAACCCAGUGUGAUUCGUCACACUAUCGUUAACUGAAUACAUAGGUUAACGAGGCGAACCGGGGGAACUGAAACAUCUAAGUACCCCGAGGAAAAGAAAUCAACCGAGAUUCCCCCAGUAGCGGCGAGCGAACGGGGAGCAGCCCAGAGUCUGAAUCAGCUUGUGUGUUAGUGGAACGGUCUGGAAAGUCCGACGGUACAGGGUGAUAGUCCCGUACACCAAAAUGCACAGGCUGUGAACUCGAAGAGUAGGGCGGGACACGUGGUAUCCUGUCUGAAUAUGGGGGGACCAUCCUCCAAGGCUAAAUACUCCUGACUGACCGAUAGUGAACCAGUACCGUGAGGGAAAGGCGAAAAGAACCCCGGCGAGGGGAGUGAAAAAGAACCUGAAACCGUGUACGUACAAGCAGUGGGAGCACCUUCGGGUGUGACUGCGUACCUUUUGUAUAAUGGGUCAGCGACUUAUAUUCUGUAGCAAGGUUAACCGUAUAGGGGAGCCGCAGGGAAACCGAGUCUUAACUGGGCGUUAAGUUGCAGGGUAUAGACCCGAAACCCGGUGAUCUAGCCAUGGGCAGGUUGAAGGUUGGGUAACACUAACUGGAGGACCGAACCGACUAAUGUUGAAAAAUUAGCGGAUGACUUGUGGCUGGGGGUGAAAGGCCAAUCAAACCGGGAGAUAGCUGGUUCUCCCCGAAAGCUAUUUAGGUAGCGCCUCGUGAACUCAUCUUCGGGGGUAGAGCACUGUUUCGGCUAGGGGGUCAUCCCGACUUACCAACCCGAUGCAAACUACGAAUACCGAAGAAUGUUAUCACGGGAGACACACGGCGGGUGCUAACGUCCGUCGUGAAGAGGGAAACAACCCAGACCGCCAGCUAAGGUCCCAAAGUCAUGGUUAAGUGGGAAACGAUGUGGGAAGGCACAGACAGCCAGGAUGUUGGCUUAGAAGCAGCCAUCAUUUAAAGAAAGCGUAAUAGCUCACUGGUCGAGUCGGCCUGCGCGGAAGAUGUAACGGGGCUAAACCAUGCACCGAAGCUGCGGCAGCGACACUAUGUGUUGUUGGGUAGGGGAGCGUUCUGUAAGCCUGCGAAGGUGUGCUGUGAGGCAUGCUGGAGGUAUCAGAAGUGCGAAUGCUGACAUAAGUAACGAUAAAGCGGGUGAAAAGCCCGCUCGCCGGAAGACCAAGGGUUCCUGUCCAACGUUAAUCGGGGCAGGGUGAGUCGACCCCUAAGGCGAGGCCGAAAGGCGUAGUCGAUGGGAAACAGGUUAAUAUUCCUGUACUUGGUGUUACUGCGAAGGGGGGACGGAGAAGGCUAUGUUAGCCGGGCGACGGUUGUCCCGGUUUAAGCAUGUAGGCUGGUUGUCCAGGCAAAUCCGGAUAAUCAAGGCUGAGGUGUGAUGACGAGGCACUACGGUGCUGAAGUAACAAAUGCCCUGCUUCCAGGAAAAGCCUCUAAGCAUCAGGUAACAUCAAAUCGUACCCCAAACCGACACAGGUGGUCAGGUAGAGAAUACCAAGGCGCUUGAGAGAACUCGGGUGAAGGAACUAGGCAAAAUGGUGCCGUAACUUCGGGAGAAGGCACGCUGGUGUGUAGGUGAAGUCCCUGCGGAUGGAGCUGAGACCAGUCGAAGAUACCAGCUGGCUGCAACUGUUUAUUAAAAACACAGCACUGUGCAAACACGAAAGUGGACGUAUACGGUGUGACGCCUGCCCGGUGCCGGAAGGUUAAUUGAUGGGGUUAUCCGUAAGGAGAAGCUCUUGAUCGAAGCCCCGGUAAACGGCGGCCGUAACUAUAACGGUCCUAAGGUAGCGAAAUUCCUUGUCGGGUAAGUUCCGACCUGCACGAAUGGCGUAAUGAUGGCCAGGCUGUCUCCACCCGAGACUCAGUGAAAUUGAACUCGCUGUGAAGAUGCAGUGUACCCGCGGCAAGACGGAAAGACCCCGUGAACCUUUACUAUAGCUUGACACUGAACAUUGAGCCUUGAUGUGUAGGAUAGGUGGGAGGCUUUGAAGCGUGGACGCCAGUCUGCGUGGAGCCAACCUUGAAAUACCACCCUUUAAUGUUUGAUGUUCUAACGUUGGCCCCUUACCGGGGUUGCGGACAGUGUCUGGUGGGUAGUUUGACUGGGGCGGUCUCCUCCCAAAGCGUAACGGAGGAGCACGAAGGUUAGCUAAUCCUGGUCGGACAUCAGGAGGUUAGUGCAAUGGCAUAAGCUAGCUUGACUGCGAGCGUGACGGCGCGAGCAGGUGCGAAAGCAGGUCAUAGUGAUCCGGUGGUUCUGAAUGGAAGGGCCAUCGCUCAACGGAUAAAAGGUACUCCGGGGAUAACAGGCUGAUACCGCCCAAGAGUUCAUAUCGACGGCGGUGUUUGGCACCUCGAUGUCGGCUCAUCACAUCCUGGGGCUGAAGUAGGUCCCAAGGGUAUGGCUGUUCGCCAUUUAAAGUGGUACGCGAGCUGGGUUUAGAACGUCGUGAGACAGUUCGGUCCCUAUCUGCCGUGGGCGCUGGAGAAUUGAGGGGGGCUGCUCCUAGUACGAGAGGACCGGAGUGGACGCAUCACUGGUGUUCGGGUUGUCAUGCCAAUGGCACUGCCCGGUAGCUAAAUGCGGAAGAGAUAAGUGCUGAAAGCAUCUAAGCACGAAACUUGCCCCGAGAUGAGUUCU
rnacentral:rRNA from 1 species